rnacentral:lncRNA from 1 species
AUCAUAGCUUGUUAAAGAAAAAUGCGACUAACACAUCUCAAAAGAAAGGGAUACUAAUCGGUACAGAAGAAACAACAGUACAGACAGGAGUAAAUACUUUUUAUACAAAUCACACACACAGUACACAAAAAUUAACAAAAUCAGAUUCAUUGACAUCUACUUAUACAUAUAAAGACAUCUCAGAAUAUUAUCUCCAGAAUUAUAUGCAAUACUGUUCCUUUUUUGAAUUAUCUAAAUUUAGUUAUAGUAGCUGCUUAUUACCUUUUAUAGUGGACAAGGUUUAUAUAUAUGAUCAUGGUACAAGUAACGACAGUAACAAAAACAGUAGUAACAAAAACGGCAGUAGUACUCACAUAGAUCUUAUAAACUAUGUUACCAAUAUAAACCAUGCUAAUAAUAUAAUGUUUACUCCAUUCUUAAUUUUUUUUUUUAAAAGAAUAUUUUUACAACUUAUAUGUUUAAGACAUCCAAUUAUAUAUAGUUCUUACUCUGUCUCUAAUUUUGUUAAAAAGUUCCCAACGCUUGGUGCUUAUUACGAUAGCGUGCGUGAAAAUGAAUCCAAAAGUGUUUUAUAUUUAAAAUACAUUCUUAACUGCAUACAUUUAAUUUUGGACAUUCGAAACUUUGGUUAUGACAUUUAUAAAAAAAUUGUUUUAGAAAUAAUGCAUUUAUUAAAAAUAUAUACGAAUUACCAAAAAAAAAGAGACAGGACUUUGGACGCAUGUACCACUAAUGGAUCUGGUGGUAGUAUCGAGAAGCAAGACCGAGGUUACACAAAGAGUAACAUCGGAAAUGGACACGAAAAUGGAAACAGACAUGAACACCUGUUUGAAGGUGUGAUAGAUGUUUUUUCACACGCGAUGAGUGUAUUAUUAAUUAAAUUAAUGAACGAAGAUCAGAAUAUAAAAAUUGAAAAAACGGCAUCAACCAAUAGUAAAAAUGGACAAAAGGGAGGAGGAGUGAUGCAUUCAAAUAAAAAAUUAAGUAAGCAAAGCAAAGAAGAUAAUGAUCAAAGGGGUAUGGAUGAUAGUGGUUGUAGGGAUGGAAACCAGGACAACGGCGAUGGUAAUAAUGGUGAUGGUGGUAAUAGUGGAAAUAGUGGAAAUA